CGCAACUGGGAUUUCUCCAGUGGCACUAAACGGCCAGGCCAUUGAUCGAGCCAGCAAGCCAGCCAGCAUCGACUCUGCAGCUCUCCCGGAUCUGAGACCCCAGGGUUACAGUGCGGGAGACCCAUGCAGGAGAAAGCAGGGUGUUACCAGUAUUAAGGCAAAGUAGACUCAUUUGACAGUCACCGAAGGGAGAUCAGUGGCCGCCAUGAAGCCAAUGAAGUUAUGACAGCAGGCCCAGGAGGAGUCGGAGCUGAGGAGAACCUGUCAGGUUGCUGACAAACGAUGAUAAAGUGGCCGCUCGUUCUGGCGCUCGAUGGAAAUUGACAAGGAAGAAGAUACAGCCAGGAGGACAGGAGCUGUGGCCUCCAAAGAAAGGACCCCGUGUGCCAAAUGGGGAGGGCAUGAAGGUACUGGUGGGGGUGUCCCCAUAUGUGGCAUGCUGAGCGUACCUGCCUAAAGACACUUCUGCUGACAACCCAUCAGCUCCCCAAACAGAAACUAAGGCUCAAAUGGCACCAACGUCACACAACCUCUCGGAGUCGAGCAAACUCCGACAGCAGCACUCAGGGGCCGUCGGGAAAAAUCAACUCUGGAGUUUGGGGCUGGCGAAGAAAAGUUCCUGAGGGGAAGGCUUUGAAUGCCAAGGUAGACUCCUCACCUGCUGAGGUGAGUACUCAGGCCAAGCCUGAACACCCCAACCGGAACCUCCGUCUGUCAGGGACAAGAAGAGGUGCGGUCGCCUGGCUCACCCACUGGGUGUAGCUCUACGUCCCCCCAGAAAACACUGGGUGUGCAACCAACAAGGAACGUGGGCUUCUGCCAGUGACCGUGAACUCAGCUGGUGCAGCAGGGGAACCUCGCCCCAAGAGGUUUCCACGUGGCAGCUGGAUGCCCUGGGGACAGAAGGACAGUCUAAAACAGCAGUAGGAAAACCACUGUGUCCUUCCAGACUCCGAAAUCUGGGUUUCUGAUGGAACCCAUGUAGAUGACUGCCACCCAGACCUCACCUGGGGGAGGAAGGGAGAGAGAUGGGGACUAAGAAAUGCAAAGACUGUGGAGGGAGGGCACCAAAGUGAUGGAAGAAAGGUCUUCACUAUCUAUCUACCUAGAGGGCAACGUGUUCCCCCAAGACAAUCUCUCUCUGUCUCAAUUUUAAGACUAUGGUGUGUUUCUCUAACUAGGAAGGAGUGAACCAGAUACACAGCAGUACACAGGCACAGAGGCACAGGCACAGGCACACGCACACGAACACACACACACACACACACACACAGAGGCACACACACAUGCAUGAGUACAGGCACAUGCACAUGCACACAAACACACACACACACACACAUGUAGGCACACAGGCACACGCAUGCACACUUCCAGCAUCAUGCCAUUCAUAGUGGAGUGCUUACAUCAUCUCACCCGCAGGUCAGUGACCCAGAGAUCUGGGUCUCAGAAUGCAGGAUGCUGGUCAUGAAACUUCUCAGCUGCCAUAAUCACAAGCAUCCUCUCUCGUCCCUCUGUGUGCAGUGUCCUAUUAGUCAUUUCUCCGGAGAACCCU